rnacentral:rRNA from 1 species
GGUUAAGCGACUAAGCGUACACGGUGGAUGCCCUGGCAGUCAGAGGCGAUGAAGGACGUGCUAAUCUGCGAUAAGCGUCGGUAAGGUGAUAUGAACCGUUAUAACCGGCGAUUUCCGAAUGGGGAAACCCAGUGUGUUUCGACACACUAUCAUUAACUGAAUCCAUAGGUUAAUGAGGCGAACCGGGGGAACUGAAACAUCUAAGUACCCCGAGGAAAAGAAAUCAACCGAGAUUCCCCCAGUAGCGGCGAGCGAACGGGGAGGAGCCCAGAGCCUGAAUCAGUGUGUGUGUUAGUGGAAGCGUCUGGAAAGGCGCGCGAUACAGGGUGACAGCCCCGUACACAAAAAUGCACAUAUUGUGAGCUCGAUGAGUAGGGCGGGACACGUGGUAUCCUGUCUGAAUAUGGGGGGACCAUCCUCCAAGGCUAAAUACUCCUGACUGACCGAUAGUGAACCAGUACCGUGAGGGAAAGGCGAAAAGAACCCCGGCGAGGGGAGUGAAAAAGAACCUGAAACCGUGUACGUACAAGCAGUGGGAGCCUCUUUUAUGGGGUGACUGCGUACCUUUUGUAUAAUGGGUCAGCGACUUAUAUUCUGUAGCAAGGUUAACCGAAUAGGGGAGCCGAAGGGAAACCGAGUCUUAACUGGGCGUUAAGUUGCAGGGUAUAGACCCGAAACCCGGUGAUCUAGCCAUGGGCAGGUUGAAGGUUGGGUAACACUAACUGGAGGACCGAACCGACUAAUGUUGAAAAAUUAGCGGAUGACUUGUGGCUGGGGGUGAAAGGCCAAUCAAACCGGGAGAUAGCUGGUUCUCCCCGAAAGCUAUUUAGGUAGCGCCUCGUGAAUUCAUCUCCGGGGGUAGAGCACUGUUUCGGCAAGGGGGUCAUCCCGACUUACCAACCCGAUGCAAACUGCGAAUACCGGAGAAUGUUAUCACGGGAGACACACGGCGGGUGCUAACGUCCGUCGUGAAGAGGGAAACAACCCAGACCGCCAGCUAAGGUCCCAAAGUCAUGGUUAAGUGGGAAACGAUGUGGGAAGGCCCAGACAGCCAGGAUGUUGGCUUAGAAGCAGCCAUCAUUUAAAGAAAGCGUAAUAGCUCACUGGUCGAGUCGGCCUGCGCGGAAGAUGUAACGGGGCUAAACCAUGCACCGAAGCUGCGGCAGCGACACUAUGUGUUGUUGGGUAGGGGAGCGUUCUGUAAGCCUGUGAAGGUGUACUGUGAGGUAUGCUGGAGGUAUCAGAAGUGCGAAUGCUGACAUAAGUAACGAUAAAGCGGGUGAAAAGCCCGCUCGCCGGAAGACCAAGGGUUCCUGUCCAACGUUAAUCGGGGCAGGGUGAGUCGACCCCUAAGGCGAGGCCGAAAGGCGUAGUCGAUGGGAAACAGGUUAAUAUUCCUGUACUUGGUGUUACUGCGAAGGGGGGACGGAGAAGGCUAUGUUGGCCGGGCGACGGUUGUCCCGGUUUAAGCGUGUAGGCUGGUUUUCCAGGCAAAUCCGGAAAAUCAAGGCUGAGGCGUGAUGACGAGGCACUACGGUGCUGAAGCAACAAAUGCCCUGCUUCCAGGAAAAGCCUCUAAGCAUCAGGUAACAUCAAAUCGUACCCCAAACCGACACAGGUGGUCAGGUAGAGAAUACCAAGGCGCUUGAGAGAACUCGGGUGAAGGAACUAGGCAAAAUGGUGCCGUAACUUCGGGAGAAGGCACGCUGAUAUGUAGGUGAAGUCCCUCGCGGAUGGAGCUGAAAUCAGUCGAAGAUACCAGCUGGCUGCAACUGUUUAUUAAAAACACAGCACUGUGCAAACACGAAAGUGGACGUAUACGGUGUGACGCCUGCCCGGUGCCGGAAGGUUAAUUGAUGGGGUCAGCGCAAGCGAAGCUCUUGAUCGAAGCCCCGGUAAACGGCGGCCGUAACUAUAACGGUCCUAAGGUAGCGAAAUUCCUUGUCGGGUAAGUUCCGACCUGCACGAAUGGCGUAAUGAUGGCCAGGCUGUCUCCACCCGAGACUCAGUGAAAUUGAACUCGCUGUGAAGAUGCAGUGUACCCGCGGCAAGACGGAAAGACCCCGUGAACCUUUACUAUAGCUUGACACUGAACAUUGAGCCUUGAUGUGUAGGAUAGGUGGGAGGCUUAGAAGUGUGGACGCCAGUCUGCAUGGAGCCGACCUUGAAAUACCACCCUUUAAUGUUUGAUGUUCUAACGUUGACCCGUAAUCCGGGUUGCGGACAGUGUCUGGUGGGUAGUUUGACUGGGGCGGUCUCCUCCUAAAGAGUAACGGAGGAGCACGAAGGUUGGCUAAUCCUGGUCGGACAUCAGGAGGUUAGUGCAAUGGCAUAAGCCAGCUUGACUGCGAGCGUGACGGCGCGAGCAGGUGCGAAAGCAGGUCAUAGUGAUCCGGUGGUUCUGAAUGGAAGGGCCAUCGCUCAACGGAUAAAAGGUACUCCGGGGAUAACAGGCUGAUACCGCCCAAGAGUUCAUAUCGACGGCGGUGUUUGGCACCUCGAUGUCGGCUCAUCACAUCCUGGGGCUGAAGUAGGUCCCAAGGGUAUGGCUGUUCGCCAUUUAAAGUGGUACGCGAGCUGGGUUUAGAACGUCGUGAGACAGUUCGGUCCCUAUCUGCCGUGGGCGCUGGAGAACUGAGGGGGGCUGCUCCUAGUACGAGAGGACCGGAGUGGACGCAUCACUGGUGUUCGGGUUGUCAUGCCAAUGGCACUGCCCGGUAGCUAAAUGCGGAAGAGAUAAGUGCUGAAAGCAUCUAAGCACGAAACUUGCCCCGAGAUGAGUUCUCCCUGAGACUAUAAGUCUCCUGAAGGAACGUUGAAGACGACGACGUUGAUAGGCCGGGUGUGUAAGCGCAGCGAUGCGUUGAGCUAACCGGUACUAAUGAACCGUGAGGCUUAACCUU